AUGCAUGUACGUCAUCGAGCCACAUGGAGACCACCUGCAGCGGGUUCAGCUAAAAUUCAUGUUGACGCUGCGGUCGGGAGGCACGGUGAUAGGGGGCCUUUGCUGCUAUUUGCCGAGAUGAUUCAGGUAACUUUUUGGGUGCGUCGGCGGUUUCUAUUGCUGAACUCAUUUUACCGGAGGUUCUGGAGGCCAUGGCAGCAAAUGAGGCUCUUUCUCUAG
rnacentral:rRNA from 1 species